UAUAAUUAAGACCUGCCUUUGUUAGAAUCUAUGGAUUGGUCAUUUGUGCUACAAAAAGAGUAACAGUGUUAUCAUCUUCAACUGUUGCUAGGAGCACACAAAUCAUGUAUUCAGUUGUCAUGGUGAUUUUUUUUUUUUUUUUUUUUUUUUUUCUGCAGCUCAUUGAUUUGUUGUUAUAAAGAGUAUUUUUGUGGCUUUUGUGUUAAACGGCAGUAAUUACAAUGGCAAGACCCUCAGGAACAGAACGAAUCGGACUGCCUGAAGAGGACAAUCAGGAUUUUCUCACCGUGGUAUGCUGAAGCGUCAAGGGGGGUGAUUAUCCAUUCCAGAUGAACACACACAUACACCCGCAUGUGGCGACACAGAUGCCCUACAACGAGCAGGCAUUGUCACCACGAUCUGCCAGCCACCUUUGGCUCAGAGGAUGCCAGAAGAGCAAAUGUUAUGGUGUUUCAUGCCACUCCAGUUCCACAGGGGACAUUAAUCAUGGGGCACCCAAGGUGGACAGGAAGUGUGACUUUGCAAAAGGUGGGUUUGGGAAACAAAACAGAUGCAUCAAACACGCAAGACUAAACAUGCAUGAUGCAUAUCUUCUUAAAAUAACCAAGACCAGCACAGACUCAACCAAAACAAAAAAGAAAUAAAUAAAAAAAAGAUCUCUGAUAUGGAGAAAACAAGAUUCAGAAAGAAGUGUAGUAUACUUUUGAUUUGAUUUUAAGUGUGCUGGUACUUUUUUAUUUUAUUAUUCUAUUGUAUUGUAUUGUCUAAAAAUAUUUAUUUGUGGGGAGAAAAAGUCAAACCCUUUUUCAUACUUACUCUACACAUUUUCAUCAGAUAAAUUUUAUCAUUGUUCAUCAUUCUGUCAUUUUCUUCUGCUAAUUUUUCUUGACAGUUGUAUUUAGACACCUUGUACACAUCUUCAAUGACAGUAUAUUCAUAUUUUAUUUAAUUAUUAUGUGUCUAAGCCAAAAUUGCAUUCAUGCCGUCUGUAAACUUUGUAAAUGUGAGACACUUUUUGUGUUUGUCACUGAUGUUUCAAUAACACAAACUGUCUGAUCUGACUAAUAGC
ensembl:lncRNA